CUUAGAAAUUUUGAUUACGGUGUCCCGGUCCCGACAUUUUCGAGAUAACGGGAAAUAUAGGAAAGUCCGGUGAAGUGAUUAUUUUGUCACAUUGAGCCUGUCGAAAUGUGACGGCAUUCUUCGACCUGCCUUGCCGUCAGGCAGGCAAGCUCAGAAUGACAAGAGAAACAAAUCAUCAAUUCCGGCGCUGUCGCGCAACUGUAAAUCAAUGUAGAAUGUAUAAUGUAGAAUUCAGAAUGAAUUUAAUUCUACAUUCUUAAUUCUAAAUUCUACAUUGACCAAGCCAGGAGACCUGCCGUAAUUCUACCUGCCAU
rfam:Ignavibacteria bacterium GWC2_36_12 gwc2_scaffold_650, whole genome shotgun sequence.